rnacentral:rRNA from 1 species
CGAACGUUAGCGGCGCGCCUAACACAUGCAAGUCGAGCGAGAAAGGGAGCAAUCCCCGGUAAAGCGGCGCACGGGUGAGUAACACGUAGGUAAUCUGCCUCUGAGUGGGGGAUAACCUUCCGAAAGGAGGGCUAAUACCGCAUGAGACCACGCCUUCGAGAGGAGGAGGGGUCAAAGCCGGCCACUAUACAUAAGCUGGCGCUUGGAGAUGAGCCUGCGGCCCAUCAGCUAGUUGGUAGGGUAAUGGCCUACCAAGGCGUAGACGGGUAGCUGGUCUGAGAGGAUGAUCAGCCACACUGGAACUGAGACACGGUCCAGACUCCUACGGGAGGCAGCAGUGGGGAAUCUUGCGCAAUGGGCGAAAGCCUGACGCAGCGACGCCGCGUGAGUGAUGAAGGCCUCGG